AUAUAAGCUGUGAUUAGGAAAAGUAAAUUAUACAUACUUUACAGAGAGGGACUUAAUGGUGAAAAAGUUCUAAGGAAAUAUAAUUGAAAUGCACCUAGGAGCUUUAAACCGAAAUAAUAGUAGGUGGUACGGGUUCUCACGUUAUAGAGAAAAUGAGAUGAAUGUGUAUAUGCAUAUUCAAUCAGAGUGGAACCGCGGAGUAUAUUCUGCCUCUGAA
rnacentral:ncRNA from 1 species